CAGUCGCCACGGUAAUACGUAGGUGGCAAGCGUUGUCCGGAAUUAUUGGGCGUAAAGGGCUCGCAGGCGGUUUCUUAAGUCUGAUGUGAAAGCCCCCGGCUCAACCGGGGAGGGUCAUUGGAAACUGGGAAACUUGAGUGCAGAAGAGGAGAGUGGAAUUCCACGUGUAGCGGUGAAAUGCGUAAAGAUGUGGGGGAACACCAGUGGCGAAGGCGACUCUCUGGUCUGUAACUGACGCUGAGGAGCGAAAGCGUGGGGAGCGAACAGGAUUAGAUACCCCGGUAGUCCCUGUCUCUUAUAC
rnacentral:rRNA from 1 species